rnacentral:rRNA from 1 species
AGCGAACGCUGGCGGCAGGCCUAACACAUGCAAGUCGAACGCCCCUUCGGGGGAGUGGCGGACGGGUGAGUAACGCGUGGGAAUGUGCCCUUUGGUACGUAACAACUGAGGGAAACUUCAGCUAAUACCGUAUGUGCCCUACGGGGGAAAGAUUUAUCGCCAUUGGAGCAGCCCGCGUUGGAUUAGGUAGUUGGUGGGGUAAUGGCCCACCAAGCCGACGAUCCAUAGCUGGUCUGAGAGGAUGAUCAGCCACACUGGGACUGAGACACGGCCCAGACUCCUACGGGAGGCAGCAGUGGGGAAUCUUGCGCAAUGGGCGAAAGCCUGACGCAGCCAUGCCGCGUGAAUGAUGAAGGUCUUAGGAUUGUAAAAUUCUUUCACCGGGGAAGAUAAUGACGGUACCCGGAGAAGAAGCCCCGGCUAACUUCGUG